rnacentral:lncRNA from 1 species
GGCCUUAGCAGCUCUACUACAGUGGAAGACCUAUUGACUUAAUAUUGGUUAAUCAGGUCUUAGUGUUUGCAACUUGAGUCCUUCAUAAGAGGUAAUCGAACAAUUGGCCAGGUAAGCAGGUGGGAGGCUCCCCUUAUUCAGAGAGUAAGGUCCUAAUUAAGUAACCACCUUUCGUGCUUUCCUAGACACCAAUUAGAUCAAUUAAUCUAAUAUGACUUGCUCAUGUCGGUUCACUCUCGACUUGAUUGAGGAAGUUUUGAUUUAGGUCUCAAUUGGGUUUGCUACAUCACAUGUAAACCUAUCUACCCGACUCGCAUUCACAUCUCAUGCAAACGGUACAUCACAGGCAGUUAUAAUCGCAGCAUCAAAUAAAGUUAAACUUUAAAUAGGUGAUGAUAAUGGAUUCUAAUUAGGUCGUAUUACAAGCACAUGCACAUCAAUCGAUCAAGCGGUCUUCAACUCUUGAGUUGGUUCUAAGCCUCCUUGAUUCGAUCCUUGAUCAACUCUUGAUCCCAUCGCCAUCAACCGCUUAGAUCACCUUUCAUCUCAUGCCUUUGCUUCAACUUGAUCGUUGAUG